CAUCUUGACAGUCAGUUUCUGCCCGUUGCCUCAUCCCAUUGCUCGGCACCACCGAGCAGAGCCUGGUUCAUCUUCUGACACCCUCCCUGCAGAUACUGACAGACAUUGAUGAACUCCCCUCUCAGCUGUCUCUUUUCCAGGCUGA